UACAGAGGUGACAAACGUUGUCCGGAAUUAUUGGGCGUAAAGGGUGCGUAGGUGGGUUGGUAAGUCAGUGGUGAAAUCUCCGAGCUUAACUUGGAAACUGCCAUUGAUACUAUCAGUCUUGAAUACCGUGGAGGUCAGCGGAAUAUGUCAUGUAGCGGUGAAAUGCUUAGAUAUGACAUAGAACACCAAUUGCGAAGGCAGCUGACUACGCGAAUAUUGACACUGAUGCACGAAAGCGUGGGGAUCAAACAGG
rnacentral:rRNA from 1 species